GACGACGCUGGCGGCGUGCUUAACACAUGCAUGUCGAACGAGGGGCGAACGGGUGAGUAAUGUCUGGGAAAAUGCCUGAUGGAGGGGGAUAACUACUGGAAACGGUAGCUAAUACCGCAGACCAGCGGAUGUGCAAAGAUGUGAUUAGAUAGUAGGUGGGGUAAAGGCUCACCUAGGCGACGAUCCCUAGCUGGUCUGAGAGGAUGACCAUCGACACUGGAACUGAGACACGGUCCAGACUCCUACGGGAGGCAGCAGUGGGGAAUAUUGCCCAAUGGGCGCAAGCCUGAUGCAGCCAUGCCGCGUGUAUUAAGAAGGCCUUCUGGUUUUAAAGUUCUUUCAGCGGGGAGGCGUUACCCUCCCAAGAAGCACCGGCUAACUCCGUGCCAGCAGCCGCGGUAAUUC
rnacentral:rRNA from 1 species